GUGCUCACUUCAGCAGUAUAUAUACUAAAAUUGGAACAAUAUAGAGAAGAUUAGCAUGUCACCUGUGCAAGGAUGAUGCAAAAUUCAUGAAACAUUUCAUAUUUUA
ensembl:snRNA U6 U6 spliceosomal RNA